rnacentral:tRNA from 1 species
GCCCUCGUAGCUCAGUGGAUAGAGCACCGGCUUCCGGAGCCGGGGGUCGGAGGUUCGAAUCCUCUCGGGGGCA